GACGAACGCUGGCGGCGUGCCUAAUACAUGCAAGUAGAACGCUGAAGGAGGAGCUUGCUUCUCCGGAUGAGUUGCGAACGGGUGAGUAACGCGUAGGUAACCUGCCUGGUAGCGGGGGAUAACUAUUGGAAACGAUAGCUAAUACCGCAUAACAGUAGAUGUUGCAUGACAUUUGCUUAAAAGGUGCAAUUGCAUCACUACCAGAUGGACCUGCGUUGUAUUAGCUAGUUGGUGAGGUAACGGCUCACCAAGGCGACGAUACAUAGCCGACCUGAGAGGGUGAUCGGCCACACUGGGACUGAGACACGGCCCAGACUCCUACGGGAGGCAGCAGUAGGGAAUCUUCGGCAAUGGACGGAAGUCUGACCGAGCAACGCCGCGUGAGUGAAGAAGGUUGUCGGAUCGUAAAGCUCUGUUGUAAGAGAAGAACGAGUGUGAGAGUGGAAAGUUCACACUGUGACGGUAUCUGACCAGAAAGGGACGGCUAACUACGUG
rnacentral:rRNA from 1 species